UACGUAGGGUCCGAGCGUUGUCCGGAAUUAUUGGGCGUAAAGGGCUCGUAGGCGGUUUGUCGCGUCGGGAGUGAAAACUCAGGGCUCAACCCUGAGCGUGCUUCCGAUACGGGCAGACUAGAGGUAUGCAGGGGAGAACGGAAUUCCUGGUGUAGCGGUGGAAUGCGCAGAUAUCAGGAGGAACACCGGUGGCGAAGGCGGUUCUCUGGGCAUGACCUGACGCUGAGGAGCGAAAGCAUGGGGAGCGGACAGG
rnacentral:rRNA from 1 species